rnacentral:rRNA from 1 species
AGGACGAACGCUGGCGGCGUGCCUAACACAUGCAAGUCGAACGAGGUCCAACCGGUGGCAACACUGGUGAAGACCGAGUGGCGAACGGGUGAGUAACACGUGAGCAACCUGCCUCGAAGACUGGGAUAACCCCGGGAAACCGGAGCUAAUACCGGAUACCCCCACCGGGUCGCAUGGCCUGGUGAGGAAAUGGAUUCCGCUUUGAGAGGGGCUCGCGGCCUAUCAGCUUGAUGGUGGGGUAAUGGCCUACCAUGGCACCGACGGGUAGCUGGUCUGAGAGGACGAUCAGCCACACUGGGACUGAGACACGGCCCAGACUCCUACGGGAGGCAGCAGUGGGGAAUCUUGCGCAAUGGGCGAAAGCCUGACGCAGCAACGCCGCGUGUGGGACGAAGGCCUUCUGGGUUGUAAACCACUUUCAGCAGGGACGAUUGUGACGGUACCUGCAGAAGAAGCCCCGGCAACUACGUGCCAGCAGCCGC